UACGGAGGGAGCUAGCGUUGUUCGGAAUUACUGGGCGUAAAGCGCACGUAGGCGGUUAUUCAAGUCAGAGGUGAAAGCCCGGGGCUCAACCCCGGAACUGCCUUUGAAACUAGAUGACUAGAAUCUUGGAGAGGUCAGUGGAAUUCCGAGUGUAGAGGUGAAAUUCGUAGAUAUUCGGAAGAACACCAGUGGCGAAGGCGACUGACUGGACAAGUAUUGACGCUGAGGAGCGAAAGCGUGGGGAGCGAACAGG
rnacentral:rRNA from 1 species